CGCGGCGGCGGAGCCAGGCCCCGGCUUAGGGGCUGCCCUCGGCGCCGCCUGAGGGGGCCUUCGCGCUGCCUGGACAGGUUCGACCCGGCCGCACAGCCUCCUCUCCUCCCUCUUGCAAAAGCAAGACCAAAAAAAAAAAAAAAAUGCCAGCAGGCCUCCGUUCUUCUUGUGAGUCCCAGUAGUCCUUCUUAGGGUAUGCCUUCCUGCUUCUCCGACGCUCAGGAUCCUACCAAUCCCAUAGCAAUCUAAGGACUCGGGACGCUGUCACGGUAACGCCCCUCCUCGCUGCACGAAUGGCGGAGUCCAACCGCGUCAAUCUGCCGCCGUUAGUGGCCGACUCGAGGCCGUGGUUCUGCCUCCGAGGUCACCGCCUGCCCGGGUAGUCCUUGGCCUCCAGCCUCCGGACGUUGACCCCUCCAGGGAGGGGCGGACGGGCCAGGUUGGGAGAGGUGAGUGAUCGUAACCCCUGCUUCCCAGCAAAACCAGACCACGUGCAAAUAAACAAAAACACGCCUUGCAAAUGGACCUCAGGCUUUGGCUGUGUGUAUUUGUCUGUGGUACUGAUGGGGAGCUCUUCCUCAGAGCCUCAGUCCCCACCCUCAGCGGCCUUACUUAGACUUUUGAGGCUAGCCCAGAUCGUGGAUGCCGCCUUCCUACCAUUUAGAGGCCGAUUCAUUUGGGAGGACGGAAGUCACCUCUUUGAACCUUAGUUUCUAUGUCUGCAAAGUGGACCCAAGAAUAUUAACACCUUAUAGGGUUGUGAAGAUUAGAGUACAGAUUACCACCAUAGUACUACAUUACUGAUAUUGGGACAAUAAUAUAGGAUGAUGAAAGCAAAGGGUUCAGUGUUUCUGGGUUUAAUGGGGAGGCAGCAUUGAAUGACUGGGUUAACCAGGAAGUUCAAGAAGAAAUAAAAAAAAAAAAAAAAAAAA